rnacentral:rRNA from 1 species
AACGAACGCUGGCGGCGGGCUUAACACAUGCAAGUCGAACGCCCCGCAAGGGGAGUGGCAGACGGGUGAGUAACGCGUGGGAAUCUACCCAGAUCUUCGGAACAACUGAGGGAAACUUCAGCUAAUACCGGAUACGCCCUACGGGGGAAAGAUUUAUCGGUUCUGGAUGAGCCCGCGUUGGAUUAGCUAGUUGGUGGGGUAAUGGCCUACCAAGGCGGCGAUCCAUAGCUGGUCUGAGAGGAUGAUCAGCCACACUGGGACUGAGACACGGCCCAGACUCCUACGGGAGGCAGCAGUGGGGAAUAUUGGACAAUGGGCGAAAGCCUGAUCCAGCCAUGCCGCGUGAGUGAUGAAGGCCUUAGGGUUGUAAAGCUCUUUCAGUAGGGAAGAUAAUGACGGUACCUACAGAAGAAGCCCCGGCUAACUUCGUGCCAGCAGCCGCCGUAAAAC